AGCGAACGUUAGCGGCGGGCCUAACACAUGCAAGUCGAACGCGAAAGGUCUUCGGACUGAGUAGAGCGGCGCACGGGUGAGUAACACGUAGGUAAUCUACCCUUUGGCGGGGGAUAACGUUCCGAAAGGAGCGCUAAUACCGCAUAAGACCACGGAGUCUCCGGACGCUGUGGGAAAAGGUGGCCUCUUCUUGAAAGCUACCACCGAAGGAUGAGCCUGCGUCCCAUCAGCUAGUUGGUAAGGUAAUGGCUUACCAAGGCGAAGACGGGUAGCUGGUUUGAGAGAAUGAUCAGCCACACUGGCACUGGAACACGGGCCAGACUCCUACGGGAGGCAGCAGUGAGGAAUAUUGGGCAAUGGGCGAAAGCCUGACCCAGCCACGCCGCGUGAGUGAUGAAGGCCCUCGGGUCGUAAAGCUCUGUGGAGAGGGACGAAAACCCUGGUUUCAAAUAGGCUCCAGGCUUGACGGUACCUCUUUAGCAAGCACCGGCUAACUCUGUGCCAGCAGCCG
rnacentral:rRNA from 1 species